rnacentral:tRNA from 1 species
GGGGCUGUAGCUCAGUGGUAGAGUGCUCGCCUAGCAUGUGUGAGGCACUGGGUUCGAUCCUUAGCACCA